AUGCAAAUAAGACCCCCCUUUUGGCUGAUGAAAAGCAGCCCAGCCCUGACCCUGCAGCUCUGGGAGAGGAGACCCAGCCUUGGGAUUCCCAGCCGUCUCCACUUGGUGAUCGGCACUGAACACAGGAGACUCACCUUGGAGUUUGUACUGAGCUGGGUUUUCCUUGUUGCUAUUUUAAAAGGUGCCCAGUGUGAGGUGCAGCUGGUGGAGUCUGGGGAGGCCUGGUCCAGCCUGACGGGUCCCUGAGACUCUCCUGUGCAGCCUCUGGAUUCACCUUCAGUGACUAUGCUAUGCACUGGGUCCGCCAGGCUUCUGGGAAAGGACUGGAGUGGGUUGGACGUAUUAGAAGCAAAUCUAAAAAUUACGCAACAGGCUACGCUGCGUCGGUGAAAGGCAGAUUCACCAUCUCCAGAGACGAUUCAAAGAACACGGCCUAUCUGCAAAUGAACAGCCUGAAAACCGAGGACAUGGCUGUGUAUUACUGUGCGAGAGACACAGUGAGGCGAGGUCAGUGUGAGCCCAGACACAAACCUCCCUGCAGGGGCGCGCGGGGCCACCAGGGGGCGCUCGGGACCCACUGA